rnacentral:rRNA from 1 species
AUUGAACGCUGGCGGCAUGCUUUACACAUGCAAGUCGAACGGGGUGAGGGGGCAACCUCUCAUCUAGUGGCGAACGGGUGAGUAAUGCAUCGGAACGUGUCCCGUAGUGGGGGAUAACCCGGCGAAAGCCGGACUAAUACCGCAUAUGCUCUACGGAGGAAAGUGGGGGACCAGUAAUGGCCUCACGCUAUGGGAGCGGCCGAUGUCCGAUUAGCUUGUUGGUGAGGUAAUGGCUCACCAAGGCGACGAUCGGUAGCUGGUCUGAGAGGAUGAUCAGCCACACUGGGACUGAGACACGGCCCAGACUCCUACGGGAGGCAGCAGUGGGGAAUUUUGGACAAUGGGGGCAACCCUGAUCCAGCCAUGCCGCGUGCGGGAAGAAGGCCUGG